AAGAUGUUAGUAUAGAAAAACAAGGCCUAGUCAAGGCCAAAUCAUAGGUUAAAACCCUAUACAUCUUA
rnacentral:tRNA from 1 species